rnacentral:rRNA from 1 species
AGAGUUUGAUCCUGGCUCAGAUUGAACGCUGGCGGCGUGCCUAACACAUGCAAGUCGAGCGAUGAAGCCUUUCGGGGUGGAUUAGCGGCGGACGGGUGAGUAACACGUGGGUAACCUGCCUCAAAGAGGGGGAUAGCCUCCCGAAAGGGAGAUUAAUACCGCAUAACAUUAGUUUUUCGCAUGAAGAACUAAUUAAAGGA